rnacentral:lncRNA from 1 species
GCUUUGCUGUGUCUGUGCUGAGAGUUCAAGAUGUAUUUUUUGAUAUCAUUAUCAGUCUAGAGAGUGGUGAGUCCUGAGGAAAAUGCAUGGCUGGAAGCUUUGUAACCGCUUUUUUCUCUCUGGAGGAUUGAUAGUUCAGUCCUUUCAGAUGUGGAUCAGACAUAUAUGCUCUAUGGGGUGUGAAGUGGGAAGAAGGAAAGACAAUAGGAAAAAUGAUCUUCAAUGACAUUAGCAAUCAGCACAAUUUACAAGAGUUAAAGUUACCAUAGGAACACAGAGAAGAUGAAAGUUUACUGCCAGAAUUAAUGCCCCCAACUUUGCUAUGAAGACCAAGGCACUGUGGAAUUGUGUGUCUGCAUUUGGAAAGUCAGCUUGUGCCUAAAUGGAUUUUGAAGAUAUCAGGCAUUCUAGGAUUGAGAAUGAGAAUUCCUUUUGU